UAAAUGAUAGUUUAAAAAAUGUUAUAUUUUGGGUAUAGAGUUGGUUUAAGAGACCUCAUUUAA
rnacentral:tRNA from 1 species